rnacentral:rRNA from 1 species
UACGUGAACCCCGAGCGUUAUCCGGAAUCAUUGGGCGUAAAGGGUCCGUAGGCGGUUAUAUUAGUCGUAUGUGAAAGCACCAGGCUCAACCUGGGACCCGCAUACGAAACGGUAUGACUAGAGAACGAGAGAGGUGAAUGGAACUCAUGGUGUAGGGGUGAAAUCCGUUGAUAUCAUGGGGAACACCAAAUGCGAAGGCAAUUCACUGGCUCGUUUCUGACGCUGAGGGACGAAACCCUGGGUAGCGAAUGGG